rnacentral:tRNA from 1 species
CCGCGUCCUGGUCGAUGCGCUCUCGGCGCGGACCGUUCUGGUCGGGCGCGACUUCCGGUUCGGCGCCGGGGGCGCGGGC